rnacentral:lncRNA from 1 species
CCUGCUAGCUUAGAAGAAUGUCAUGUAAGUGGCACAUGGAUCACUGCAGUCACAGAGCAAGCCCUUCCUGUGACCAUGUUCUUUGAGUGGGUUUUAAGCAUCCAGUCCUCGCCCAAGUCAUUCCAGAAAAUGAAGUCAACAUUAUCAUGGGAGAAGGUCAAGAUCCCAAGAAGUCUCCAGCAGCUGGAAUUCCCCAGGCACCUCUGACUUGGCAUCUCUACCGUGUCUCAGGGUCCUCACACAACUUCCCUACUGCCACUCAGCAAAGUCCAGGAUACAGAGCAUACCUGCAUACAAGAAAACAACUACUUGUCUGAGUACAGUGGAUGAAAUGUGCACUGUGAGCCGCUGCAUGCAUGGAUACCACGCAGGAGAAAACAGCAACUACCUGUGAAGUAGACCCAUGGCUUACUUCUGUAAAAUGUCCAUUAUGGGUGGUUUGAUCUGUUUGCGUUGCUAUAAUAAAC